GCGGUCAUCCCAUAGGACAGCAAAUUUCAGUUAAUGCCGAGAGGUAGGGAAAUGUCACAAAAUAGGUUGAGAAAGUAAGGGAUUUUAUUUGUCUAUUUAUUUACCAUAUAAAAGCCAUGACCAUUUCACAGGACACCACUGAAAGGCAUGAGAACGUAAGAAGCUUGAGAGGUUAGUUUAGGGGGCACAUAUUUUCCAUGUAAUCAGAUUCAGAUAUUUCAAUACUAUUAGGUAAGUGUUAUGUAAAGAGGAUGGGAGGUUCAUCUGGGAGUCAGGCCAAGGUUUGCAGUAUCACUUCUAGCAGAGGACAAAUAGGAAAAAAUAAAAUAAAAAAAUAAAAAGCCCUGGGUCAGAAUGGCAGGCAAUCAGCCGCCUGAGACGAUGGGCCUUAUUGCAGUCUAACUAUCAGAAAUCAGCAACUCUCCUACUAAAGGAAGGUUUCCAGUAUCUGACCCUAGUCAGAAGGAAACAGUUGUUCAGAUUUUACUCAAAAUUUGAGGUUUCGAGCACAGUCCUGUAGACUGAGAGAAAAGGGAGCAGGUGAAUCAACAGAAGUUGGAAUUGAUUUCUGUGGAAAAGACUGAGCUUGUUCUAUGUGUGUGGAGUUGUGUUCAGCCACUGGUAAAUCAUUCAAGUGAGGUGACACUGGGUGAUCGAAUUCGGUUGAUGCAACUAUCCAUCCUAAAGUGUCAUCUCUCACUACCAUGGGCACUGCAAUUCCCCACAAGCACUUUGGAAGAAAACAGGCAAAGUCAACCUAAAAUUGGCUCUAGAAUUUUGGCUAGGGGUUCUUUUAAAAAGGGGCACAAUCUUAGCAUUUAAUUAGUUAAUUUUUAAUGUAAUUUCAAACAAUUAGAUUAUGAGCCAAGGAUGGUAAACAAUGCAAGGUAAACAGAGCUACCAUAUCGUGAUUUUAUUUAGUGAUACUUAUCUAGUUUUUAAGCCACAUGGAUGUAAAACUUAAUAAAUGAUAUUAUUUAUUUUGUUUAUCUUCACUGUACCGAAACGAAAACAUUUUAAAACAAAAAAUAAGUAUUAAUUAUUUUUCUUGAAAUUAGUACAAACAUAUCUGUCUUCACUCUAUUAUCUUUUUUGCCAUAAAGGAACAAUUUUUGGUCAACCUUUUCAGAGCUUGAAUUUAGGACUAUUAAGAAAUAACUUUGAAAUGUGAUGAUGCUUAAAUUAAUUUUUGAAAUUCAGUGAUGGGGUAGAACUAGGUCAGGAAAUUGAAAUUUUUCCAAUGGUAUGAGACCUAGGAGACACGGUGAUUCACUUUAUUAUUUAAACCAAGGUUAAUUUUUAGUUUUUAGUUCACUUUAUUUAUUUAAGCCAAGGUUAAUUUUUAGUUUUUAUUGUUUAAAUGCACUAGAAAGUUAAGUUUGCACAGGGAUUGUUUUAAAAUAAAUAAAAGAGCUAUGCUAACCCACAGAUGAGCUUUGUUGGUAGUAUCCCUUUAUUUUCAUAUAAAUGUUUAAAAUGUUAUCAUUGUUAUAAAGCAAAAUUAUCUCUUCCUAUUCUAAUAUUAUUAUCAUAUAUUUCAGGCAUGUAUUGGAAAACAAGUGUAAGAGAGGAUAUAAGAAAAUCCUACAGAUAAUGCAUUUGCUUGAUUGAUUUACAUAAUCACUGUGUUUCAUAAUAACUGCUUAUGGAAUAAUGGGAAGUUUUAUAAAAUGCUGGCCUUGCAUAUAUCUUAGAAUGCCAAUUUAAUAAAGUGUGUUUACAUGCAUUAUAUACAUAGAUAGAUGAUAGAUAGAAAAUGGAUAUGUCCUCUUUCCUAUUUUUCAAAGAAUAUCUUUUUUCGUAAAAAGAAUGAGAUGACUCUCACGUCAUUUUUAUGAACAAAAAUUUUAUGUUUUCAGGAAACAACACUUGUGACAAUGUUGUGAUAUCACAAAUAUGGGGCAAGGCGGGAAUGGGAAGCCCCCUGAGAAAUUGUGUUGAAUUUAUGUGACUAUCUGCAGCAAAUUUUGACCAAGAAAUCUAAUGUACCACUUGGGUUCAACAAAAUAAUUUUCUUCAAAGUCUAAACUUUAAAUAUGUUCUCACUCAUAUGUGGAAGCUAAAAAACAGUGAUCUCAUGGAAGUAAUAAGUACAACAGAGGAUACUAGAGACUGGGAGGGAUAGGAGGAAGGGAAGGAAGGAUAGGGAGAGACUUGUUAAAAGCUACAAAAUUGCAGCUAGGUGGAAGGAAUAAGUUCUGGUGUUAAGCACUGUAGUAUGACUAUAGUUAACAAUAAUAUAUAGUUUCAAAAAGCUAGAAGGAGGAUAUUGAAUAUUCCAGACACAAAGAAGUGAUAAAGGUGUGAGAUGAUAAAUAUGCUAAUUAUUCUGAUCUGAUCACUAUACAUUAUAUGUGUGGAAACAACAUUAUGUACCCCAUAAAUAUGUACAAUUAUUAUCUGUCCAUUUUAAAAGUAAAAUUAAAAAGUAAUAACUAUAAAGCAAAUAAAAAUAUAAAUGUCACAAUUACUUACUUGCAUCGAUGGCAAAAUCUUAUGUUUUAUUCAGAAAACGGUAGACAUCUCCCUUUCCAGCCACAUCUUUAUCAUAAGCACGACUUAGUUGUGUUCCAGGGAGCAUAUUUUCAGGCAAAUUCACUGGGUUAAUUAAAAUCUGAAUUUCUGUUUUAAUGUGUGAAAACACUGAAGAGAUAACACAGAAAGACUUCUUAAUAUCAAGAAAAAUAUAAAAAUGAACAAUUUUAUCAAUAUCAAUAUUUUAUCAAUAUUUCCAUUUAUUUGUCUUGAUACGUUUCAAGCUGAAACUGGAGUAAAAAGUUUCAUCUAAAACUGAGUAAGUUUUUUUUUUCUUUAACAUAUCAAUAUUGUUUUUCAGUGAUGAAUUGUGUAGAACAAACUCGCAGGAAAGUACAAGUUUAGAUCCCAGCUUUAAUAUAUCUUUAGUUUAUUCCUGUGUUCAACAUGAAUUUAACAAUUAUCAUGCAGAAUGGUUAUUUCACAAGCAAAUUUUGCUAAUUUCUUCCUUCAGUUUAUUGACCAUUUCAGUGAAAUCAUUUCACAUGCUCACACAAGCUGUAUUUUUAAAUAUGAAGUUUGUUGUAUUACAAUUUAAAAUGCUAAUUGAAAAAAAUCAAGGAAAACACAUCUCUUCUUUAAUUUGCUUAAUUAUUUUCAUUGCUUUUCUUUUUAUUAGAAAGAAAAGAUCUGUUUUUGGUUUAGUUGUGAGUCAUUGUAAAUUACAUUAUGCUGUACCUCUGUAGUGGAAAACAGAAAUAGGCAUAUUCUGAAACUCAUUCCCAGAAUAUGUAAUAUGACUAAAAG
rnacentral:lncRNA from 10 species